rfam:Ovis aries breed Texel chromosome 1, whole genome shotgun sequence.
GGAUUGGUGGUAUCGUGGUGAACAUAGCUGCCUUCCAAGCAGCUGACCUGGGUUUGAUUCCCAACCAACACA